GGUGAGGGAUGAAGGCCUCUGGGCUGUAACCUCUUUUAUCAAGGAAGAAGAUCUGACGGUACUUGAUGAAUAAGCCACGGCUAAUUCCGUGCCAGCAGCCGCGGUAAUACGGGAGUGGCAAGCGUUAUCCGGAAUUAUUGGGCGUAAAGCGUCCGCAGGCGGUCUUGUAAGUCUGUCGUUAAAGCGUGGAGCUUAACUCCAUUUGAGCGAUGGAAACUGCAAGACUAGAGUGUGGUAGGGGCAGAGGGAAUUCCCGGUGUAGCGGUGAAAUGCGUAGAUAUCGGGAAGAACACCAGUGGCGAAGGCGCUCUGCUGGGCCAUAACUGACGCUCAUGGACGAAAGCCAGGGGAGCGAAAGGGAUUAGAUACCCCUGUAGUCCUGGCCGUAAACGAUGAACACUAGGUGUCGGGGGAAUCGACCCCCUCGGUGUCGUAGCCAACGCGUUAAGUGUUCCGCCUGGGGAGUACGCACGCAAGUGUGAAACUCAAAGGAAUUGACGGGGGCCCGCACAAGCGGUGGAGUAUGUGGUUUAAUUCGAUGCAACGCGAAGAACCUUACCAGGGUUUGACAUCCUGCGAAUCUCUUGGAAACGAGGGAG
rnacentral:rRNA from 1 species